UUUCAGGGAGAUGGACUCUUACUCUGAGAUGAAAUGGUCAGAGAAAAAAGUCGGUCUGUGUGUGGUGAUGGUUUGUGCCAUGAUCAUGUAUUUAUAGGAAGCGGGCAUGGUGAGGUGGUCUCCAUCUUUGGUUCCGCAACCAUCACAGAUGGCAAGUUGUCAAGGGACAAGUCUCUGAACUCCCUAGGUGAGAUGUUGCUAUCUGUGGUUGCAAGAUUCAAUGUGCAAGGCCAUUAUGGUGGAGCCAUCUUUACUGGCUUGUUUUUGUGCGGCCCUAGUCUUUUGGCAUUGUUCAAAAUAUCUGAAAAUGAGGUUAGGAGGGCAUUAAUUGCAAAGAACUUCAUAUCUGCCACAUUGCUCUUGAUCGUGAUAUCCAGUUUCCAAAUUAUGUAUUUCGUCAAUCUUUCCUAUGACUCUGUGCAAGGGGAGGAGCUGCAUCUUCAUUUGCACAACUAUCACGGAUGGCAAGGUAUCAGGGGACAAGGCCAUGAACUCCCUUGUUGUGAUGUUCCUAUCUGUGGUUGCAAGUUGGAAGACUCAAUGCACAGGAGCAUUCUCACAUGGUGGAGCCAUCUUUGCUGGUUUGUUUGUGUGCAUCCGGUUAGUUUUGUAUUGCGUUGCGCCAGGAGGUAUCCUAAAAUGAGGAAUCAGAUGAACAUUUACACAACACUGGGCGUGCAAUCUAGUUCUCUAUUCAUUACCUAUGACCUUGUUGCUUCCAACACUGUGUUCAGAACGAUGUUAGGCGAGCAGAUGGUCCAUGAGACCAUGACUUCAUGCAGUUGCCACUGACAGUCUGACACCAGUUGGUGAGCAACACCAUAAAUCUGGUCAUGCAAUGCUGGCUAUGACGGAGGCAAUGAUUUGGAUUGGAAAUCACUGGGGCAGACACACAAUUAAUGCAUGGGGUCCUAGUGGAUGCCAAAGUGGUUAGAUGAUUUGCUCUGUAGUCUGUACUAUAGCAGCGGUACCACGUUGGACAGAAGCAUUAUUAUCAGACAAUUACUCAAAGUUUGAGGUCUCGUCAACACAAAGGAGACAUUUAGGGCAGCAUCAGUUGGAGAGCCAUCAUGGAGUGAGUCGCUCCGGUGUUUCGUGAGACCUUCCUCCUUACCUAAUGAAGCUUGCUCCACACCCUUGGGCUCCGUAGUACUGUGAGUACUGAUCCGUGCAGUAGCUAAGAGACAUGAGGGCAGCAUGUAGGGUCCAGGGUUUAAGAAGCAGCUUCCUUUGUUCAUGUGGGAUGUUGAUAAGGAACUGGGGUGAUUUCCAGCUCUGGAGCAUACAUCUGGCCAACAGAGCAGCAUUGCAGUGUACACUGUACAGUGCAAUUCAUGCCAGGAAAUGGUGCUCUUUUUUCGUUAGUGGAGAAGGGAGCAUUAUUCAACCAAACCUUCCGUCCCAUAUUAAUUGAGUGACAAAAUAUUACAUGUAUUUAGACGUUUUUUAAAUAUAUAUACAUGCAAAUUUAAGUC